AACGAACGCUGGCGGCAUGCCUAACACAUGCAAGUCGAACGAGACCUUCGGGUCUAGUGGCGCACGGGUGCGUAACGCGUGGGAACCUGCCCUUAGGUUCGGAAUAACUCCCCGAAAGGGGUGCUAAUACCGGAUAAUGUCUUCGGACCAAAGAUUUAUCGCCUUUGGAUGGGCCCGCGUUGGAUUAGCUAGUUGGUAGGGUAAAAGCCUACCAAGGCGUCGAUCCAUAGCUGGUCAGCGAGGAUGAUCAGCCACACUGGGACUAGGACACGGCCCGGAAUCCUACGGGAGGAGGCAGUGGGGAAUAUAGGACAGUGGGCGGAAGGCUGAUGCAGCAAUGCCGCGUGAGUGAUGAAGGCCUUAGGGUUGUAAAGCUCUUUUACCCGGGAUGAUAAUGACAGUACCGGGAGAAUAAGCUCCGGCUAACUCCGUG
rnacentral:rRNA from 1 species